rnacentral:rRNA from 1 species
GAUGAACGCUGGCGGCGUGCUUAACACAUGCAAGUCGAACGAAGCACUGUGACGGAAACCUUCGGGCGGAAGACACAGUGACUGAGUGGCGGACGGGUGAGUAACGCGUGGGCAACCUGCCCCAUACAGGGGGAUAGCAGCUGGAAACGGCUGAUAAUACCGCAUAACCCGGCGGUGCCGCAUGGCACUGACGGCAAAGAUUUAUCAGUAUGGGGAUGGGCCCGCGUCCGAUUAGCUGGUUGGCAGGGUAACGGCCUACCAAGGCGACGAUCGGUAGCCGGCUUGAGAGAGUGAACGGCCACAUUGGGACUGAGACACGGCCCAA